GAUGAACGCUGGCGGCGUGCUUAACACAUGCAAGUCGAACGGAAAGGCCCAAGCUUGCUUGGGUACUCGAGUGGCGAAAGGGUGAGUAACACGUGGGUGAUCUGCCCUGCACUUCGGGAUAAGCCUGGGAAACUGGGUCUAAUACCGGAUAGGACGGUGGUUUUGAUGCCAUUGUGGAAAGUUUUUUCGGUGUGGGGUGAGCUCGCGGCCUAUCAGCUUGUUGGUGGGGUAAUGGCCUACCAAGGCGUCGACGGGUAGCCGGCCUGAGAGGGUGUACGGCCACAUUGGGACUGAGAUACGGCCCAGACUCCUACGGGAGGCAGCAGUGGGGAAUAUUGCACAAUGGGCGCAGGCCUGAUGCAGCGACGCCGCGUGGGGGAUGACGGCCUUCGGGUUGUAAACUCCUUUCGCUAGGGACGAAGCGUUUUUGUGACGGUACCUGGAGAAGAAGCACCGGCUAACUACGUG
rnacentral:rRNA from 1 species